CAGCACUCGUGUGACUAAAUGGAUCAGAACCCUGGAGCUGCUGUUCUCUCUCUGGUAUUGUGUCUGUGUUCAGCAGGGACCUCGCCUCUAGCAACAGGAAUAGAGCGCUAUGCUCGGACGGGAGACACCGUUGUCCUGCCUUGCAGAGAGGCUUCGGCGGGGUUCAGGGAAUCGAUACAGUGGUCUUACAACACGGCCUCUGGCACGCGCUCUCCUUUAUUCACUCUUCAAAGCUCUGGGGCAAUUAUAACGGGAGUAACAAAGCUUAAGGACAGGAAACAGAUUGUACACAACUCAUCUCUAAGGAUACAGGAAUUGAAAAAAGAUGACUUUGGGACGUACACGUGUGAUGUUUGCACUGGCAAAGGUCACUGCACUACAGUAUCACAGAUUUCCUUGUUGCUUUCAAAAGACCAUGUGACAGGUUGGCCGAGUGGUGACGUCACAGACCAGGAAGUAACCACACACAGACAAGGUACUAC